rnacentral:rRNA from 1 species
CCUACGGGGGGCAGCAGUGGGGAAUAUUGCACAAUGGGCGCAAGCCUGAUGCAGCCAUGCCGCGUGUGUGAAGAAGGCCUUCGGGUUGUAAAGCACUUUCAGCGGGGAGGAAGGCGUUAAGGUUAAUAACCUUGUCGAUUGACGUUACCCGCAGAAGAAGCACCGGCUAACUCCGUGCCAGCAGCCGCGGUAAUACGGAGGGUGCAAGCGUUAAUCGGAAUUACUGGGCGUAAAGCGCACGCAGGCGGUCUGUCAAGUCGGAUGUGAAACCCCCGGGCUCAACCUGGGAACUGCAUUCGAACCUGGCAGGCUAGAGUCUUGUAGAGGGGGGUAGAUUCCCAGGUGUAGCGGUGAAAGGCGUAGAGAUCUGGAGGAAUCCCGGUGGCGAAGGCGGCCCCCUGGACAAAGCCUGACGCUCAGUGGCGAAAGCGUGGGGAGCAAACAGGAUUAGAUACCGAGUAGUC